AGCGAACGCUGGCGGCAGGCUUAACACAUGCAAGUCGAGCGGGCCCUUCGGGGUCAGCGGCGGACGGGUGAGUAACGCGUGGGAACGUGCCUUUUGGUUCGGAAUAACCCUGGGAAACUAGGGCUAAUACCGGAUACGCCCUUUUGGGGAAAGGUUUACUGCCGGAAGAUCGGCCCGCGUCUGAUUAGCUAGUUGGUGGGGUAACGGCCUACCAAGGCGACGAUCAGUAGCUGGUCUGAGAGGAUGAUCAGCCACACUGGGACUGAGACACGGCCCAGACUCCUACGGGAGGCAGCAGAGGGGAAUAUUGGACAAUGGGCGCAAGCCUGAUCCAGCCAUGCCGCGUGAGUGAUGAAGGCCUUAGGGUUGUAAAGCUCUUUUAUCCGGGACGAUAAUGACGGUACCGGAGGAAUAAGCCCCGGCUAACUUCGUGCCAGCAGCCGCCGUAA
rnacentral:rRNA from 1 species